UGGGGAAUUUUGCACAAUGGGGGAAACCCUGAUGCAGCGACGCCGCGUGAUUUAGAAGGCCUUCGGGUUGUAAAAAUCUUUUCUAUGGGAAGAAAAUGACAGUACCAUAGGAAUAAGGACCGGCUAAUUACGUGCCAGCAGCCGCGGUAAUACGUAAGGUCCGAGCGUUGUCCGGAAUCAUUGGGCGUAAAGGGUACGUAGGCGGGUAUGCAAGUUAGAAGUGAAAUCCUAUAGCUCAACUAUAGUAAGCUUUUAAAACUGCUCAUCUUGAGGUAUGGAAGGGAAAGUGGAAUUCCUAGUGUAGCGGUGAAAUGCGCAGAUAUUAGGAGGAAUACCGGUGGCGAAGGCGACUUUCUGGCCAUAACCUGACGCUGAGGUACGAAAGCGUGGGUAGCAAACAGG
rnacentral:rRNA from 1 species